AAUUACCGCCAGUUAUUUUUCUACAUACUGCUGUACAUUUACAUAUACCGCCAGUGUGAAUACAGGAUUUGUGCUGAAAUAAAGUCGGGGUUAGGAGGACUUGUCCUUCGUUGUAGCUCAAGUGGCUGCUGAAGUGAUGUACAGUAUAUUAUAUACAGUGUAGACUGGGGGUCACUAUGCCUGCCCUGCUGGACAGACCCCAGCUGUCCAACGCCAUGGCCAGAGCGCUGCACCAGUGCAUCGUGAGGGACCGAGAGCGCCGCCGACAGGGUACGCAGCGUGGUACAGGUUAGGACGGCACGCACACGGACGAGCGCUGUCCUGCUCGUGGCGAGGCAUCGCUUCAUUAACUCCUCUCUAGGGUAAUAGUGCGGUAAAGAUACAGGUAGAGUACACUGUGGCGACUGCGGCCCUAGAGCACUGGCGUCUCUCACCCGUUCCACUCAAGGCAGAGUGGAGUACAGCGCGCAGCUGCUGAAUGGCACUUUCAGAACCCGUCCCAUGUCGGCAACUGUUGUACCAGCUGCGUAACGUCUGUGUGGAACCGAACACCUUCACGCCCUUCCUGCUGUAGAGUCACACCGAUGGUCCUCGAGCUGACGCUGCAUCACGGGACACGUUACAAAACGGGUUCCGUGUCAUUCCUCAGCCCCUGUACCAGGGCUGUGCUCACCGGCUCUCUCUGUGCCACAGAGGAGGAACAAGUGGACAAGAUGAUGGAGGAGAAAAUGAGGAAGGAGGAAGAAAGUAAGAGAAAGAAGGAGAUGGAGGAGAGGAUGUCUCUGGAGGAAACGAAAGAGCAGGUCAGCGGACGCCUCUUUCCUCCAGCACUGAAAGCUGGGUGGAGCCUUCAGAGGUUGGCUUGGACUCGGUGCCCUGGAAGGCUGUUGUGCACAGUGCGCUUGUGUGUUGGCGCACACCAGGAAAGGAGCUCUCUCUCUCUCUCUCUCUCUCUCUCUGUCAUACAUUUGCUUUCAGAUCUCCAAGAUGGGAGAGAAGCUGGCAGGUCUACAAGAGGAGAAACACCAGCUUUUCCUCCAGAUCAAGAAAGUGCUCCACGAGGAGAAGAGACGUCGAAAGGAGCGAAGAUAACGUCAUUUUGAGCUCCGUGGUGAGUCCUGCUCAAGCCGGCACCAUUCUGGGGCAGCGCGGGAAGCAACUCUUCCAAACCUCUGUGAUCCAGGGCCAUUAUUUCCAGGUGCAGCCAGGUCUCAGCCCGGGAGGUUCUGAGCGGAGAGCUUUCCCUUCGAGCUGGUUGGCACAUGGGCCCCGUGGUGCCCUCCCUCCUCGGGUUUGCUGAGUCUCGUCCACCUCCCAGCACUCCUGUCCAGCUCCUCCACCACAGUGCAGAUCCUGUAGCUAAGCUCACCCUACCAUGUACCCACUCUUCCCAACCUGCUGCUCCUGGGAUAUUUGCUCAGCAGAGCCAGGCGGCAGCGUUCCAGGUGCCUCCACAAGCCUCCUCCUGGCUUGCCUUCGUACCCCAGCCGCAGGCAGGACAGCGGCCCCGAGAUGGUCGGGGGAGGGGGCCUCGUGGCUGAUGAGGACACCUUCUGUUGCGGAUGCACUCAGGUCUCUGUGGGGACCGUGACGCUGAGCACAGUAGUCACCUGAGGACACUGUGUACAAUCCAUUGUCCUACAGGAAGUUCUUUACAGCCACUGACAUGUAGAAAUACAGCAUCUCUGGUAUUUUACCCUUUGCUCUCAUUCUGAACGACCACUUUGUGGCUCUGCCAGUGCUUUGAAAAUGAGUCCAAUACUGUAGCGGAGUCAUGGUGGACACUGGGCCCCUCUUGCUGGCGCUGUAAGAAUGAGCUGCUGUUCCAGUGUGUGUCCUCCUGUGGGACCUGGAGCUCUUUGUGCUGGAUGAGUGAAACAUGUCCUGCUGCUUUAGUGAGCGGUGGGGGUUCCUUUCGCCCCCAGAGAUGGAGACUGAAAAGUGUUGAAUUAUUUGUCACCUUUCAUCACAUCCCCUCUUCCACACUGCGUUAAAGCAAACCUGGUGGUGAACCCCUCAUGCCCCCACGAGGUCUAAAGGAGGAGUCAACCACCAUGGCUUUCACUGCUACCACAGAAGAACAGUUCUGCUUUAUUAGGUCCAUUUGGGUACGUUUUAUUUAAUUUCAGAGAGGUCUUCCUCACUUGCCUCCGUCUUUUCCUUCCCAAACUUCAACAUAAGUGGGAGUUGUAUAUGUAGAGGACAAACAUGAGGAUUUUGUACUUUGGGCUCCCAGAUCCUCACUGUGUUUUUGCCAAAAAUAAAAGCAACUGGACCCUCCUUUUGGCGAUGUCCACCUUCCUGCCUCCACGGUACCAUGGGAGACGAAGAGCGGGGGGG